AUGACCUCAAAUCAAGUAGGACUACCCGCUGAACUUAAGCAUAU
rnacentral:rRNA from 1 species